rnacentral:lncRNA from 1 species
GCAUCGGUAGAUCCUUCUAACAUUGUUCCUGCUGAGGAACAAGAAAAAGUAAUUUUACAGUUUGGAAAAAUCGGAAAAGAUAUAUUCACCAUUACAAACACUACAAUUAACUACAAAUUUGAUUAAACCGUACAUUUUGCCAAUUAACUACAAAUUAACUCCAGAAAACUACAAUUAACUACAAUUUGUAUUUUUGAUGAAACAAUUUUCAAAAAGUAUUUUUGAUGCUACCCACUUUCUGCCUUUCAAGCCUUUGCAAUCUGCUUGAGCAGCUUCGACACAAAACCAGCAUGUGAAUGAUUUCAUGCAGAUUGUAUGCGGCAAUCUUUAUUGUUCUUCUGUUGCUUCAUAAUGUUAUGAAUUGAUGUUCUCUAUUUACGGCCUUAUUUAUGAAUUAAGAUUUUUGUAGUGGGAUAUGCAGCUUUUCUAGCCUUGCUACAUAAUUAUGGAGCAUCAAGCAAGGGCUAAAAUUAGCCAAAGAAAUGGGAUGUAAAGAAUUAUGCGUGGUAACUGGUUGCCUGCCUACUUGAUGUCAAGCUUAUCAAGGAUGAUGACAUACAGUAUAACCCUCUUAGGGUUAUUAUUGAAGAUUGCAAAUUCUUGCUUGAAGCCAACAAGGCGAUAUUGUACACAUUUGGGGAGAGGCAAACAAAUGUGCAGACUUUCUACUUUCUGACGAGCAAAUGUCACAUACCUGACGAAGAUCUGCUAGUCUGCGAAGGGGUGAUCAAGGAUAUGGAGUUUUUGCUCUUCGCAGAUUUAAAUAAUGUAGCUUAUGAGAGAUUUUAGUAUUUCUGUUACUAUUUUGUAAUGUACCUAGAAAAUAUGCAGCUUCUCUAACAGUAGUUGUUUCGAUAGAAGCACUUGUUCUGUAAGUUCCUGUGUUAAUAUGUGUUUACAAAGUGUAUCCAUCAUGUUAGGUUUUCCACUUAAAUGUUGAGUAAACAGCAUCUGCAGUUAUCAUGUCUCAUAUAAUACCUUCUGAACUUUGUCAUCCACUUUAUAAGUCAGAACUAAAUUCCUCUCUACUUAAGGUUUGUUUCAUAUGAUUCUUGAACUGCUUCUUCUUUCGAUGUGCUAAGUAUUCCCCCACACCCUCAUCACCACUUGCCUCCCCUACCUCUCUGCAGCCUUGCCCCUUUUAUCUUAUGGAACAUUUGGUUGAAUCGUAACCAUAAUCUCUUCCAAAACGACACACAGCUACUCAACCCCACACUUGUCAAUCUACAAGCAACUAAAUACACAUACCUAGCAUCCCCAAAUGCACCUCAUCGAACACGCAU